rnacentral:rRNA from 1 species
GACAGAGGGUGCAAACGUUGUUCGGAAUUACUGGGCGUAAAGCGCGUGUAGGCUGCCCCGAAAGUCAGGUGUGAAAGCCCUGGGCUCAACCCAGGAAGUGCACUUGAAACUUCGGUGGCUUGAGUUCUGGAGAGGAUGGCGGAAUUCCCGGUGUAGAGGUGAAAUUCGUAGAUAUCGGGAGGAACACCAGUGGCGAAGGCGGCGACCUGGGCAGAUACUGACACUGAGGUGCGAAAGCGUGGGGAGCAAACAGG